UUUAGGUACUGUCUUAGAUCGAUUGACCAAUCAGAACACCCUGGUCAACCACUCAGCUCGCUCGGUCACUGUCAGAGCUGCAAAUGACCCCUAACCUGCCUUAUCGUAGGGACACAGGGUGGGAGACGCCCAUAUUCAAGCCCCCGUCGGCCUACGGACACCCCUUCAUGUCCUCCCUGUCCAUGUCCUCUCUGGGGGCCACCUGCCCUCCACCGUAACACCGCCAAGCACCAGCCAUCAUGAUGGCACACGGAGACAUCUCUGAUCCACUUCAAUGCUCUGCACGAGUGACUUAGCUGCAGUAUCAAAUCACUUGGUUAAUGGUUAACUUAAUGGUUAACUCUUCACUGUGGAGAGAUGAGCUGUGGAAUAGGAAGUAUUGGUCUGAAAUUGAAUCCACUACACAGGGUUAAGAAGAGGUUUGAAGCUGUUGGGUGUGUUUGUACUGUUGCGUGUACAUUGUCAUUUUAAUGGCUACAUACAGUAUUAUUUAAUUGGUUCAUUGAAGUUUGUCACAAUAACAAAUACAUUUUUUAAACAAAACAAUCAAAUGGAUCUCACAAUAUAGAAUUGGCCAGUAAGACACUGAAAUCACAAAAUCUGUACUGUAACUACUAUACCACUGAGUCAUCAAUCAUUAACAAACCACUCAUCUGAUUGGCAUUUUUAGAGGCUGUGAUUUGCAGUAUAAUUCACUGACAGCCACAGUGAGUCCAACUGCCAAGCAUUCCAUUAGCCCCCAGCAUGACUCACCCAGGACCAGCUUUGCUCUCUCUGGGGUGUCUGCUGCCUGUCCCCCCCCAGGCAUUGGUCAAUUAAUCAUAAAGGCACCAUGUGAAGAGCUGUGGGCAGCAAAAUUGUGUUAUUUCUUCAAAUAGCUUGCCUAAAAUAGCAGAUAUGAUACAUGAUAACAACCUCAAUGGCCACUUGAUUGGUUUGAGCCCCGUGGGCAGGAAAUCUACUUCUUAUGAGCAUUUUGCCUUUUAUGAGCAUCGCAACUGCUUUUAGGAUUUAUAGAAAGCUGUAGUUUGCGGGUAACAUUACAUUGCGGGAUGAGUGUUAGAUUGGACUGCCUUAGUAAGAGGGCAGUUAUGGAGCAUAUUGACUCAGAAAGCUACACUUCCCUUCUCAAUCAGCCAUCUGUUACCAGUGACCUGCUACCUUUCAGGGAAAAAAAUAUAGGAGACCUUGGAAGCACAUUAUGAUUAUUUCCUGUGGUUUCAAUGUUUCCUUAAAGCUUUUAAAAGACUUAUGAUGAGAUGGAAUAAUGACACCCUGAAGUCAGUCGGUGCUUAACCAGUCAUGGAGGGAGAUGGGCCCAUUCAUUUACAUGUACGCAGGCAUUUCUGGGAGGGAAAUGAAGCAUGAUGAUGCACAGGAAGCAUGGAUCUGAUCUGACAGAACAAAGUCUUCUGUAGGCCGAUGAACCCCCAAAAAAUACCUUGAUUGUCUUAUUAGAAUUCAGUCUAAAACUAUUUUUCCUGCCAAAACACAAAACUAUUAUGUACAGGUCCCUUGGCAGAAUUUUUCAAAGUACCACCUAUCCUCAAUUUGGACACAUGCGGUUCUUUUCAGUGAAUUGUGCCCAAAAAUCUUUUGCUGAUAAUUUGUUUUCUGCCUAUGCACAGUGAAUUAAAUGUCCAUUCACAUUGAUUGGCAGCUGAUUUUCCACUUAAAAUGAGUCAUGCUAAAUACCUGUGGUGUGCACCCUGUGAUGAGUAAAGUGGAGCCACAAGCUGUGCUCUAUAUUGGACACACGUACACAUAGUACACAAACAUAAUCACAUGCACAUGUGGCAUGGAUAUAUAUCUCCCCACCACCCCAACACAUGUAUGCAUACAUACACAGAUACAGUUGAAGUCAGAAGUUACAUACACCUUAGCCAUACAUUUAAACUCAGUAUUUCACAAUUCCUGACAUUUAAUCCUUGUAAGAAUUCCCUGUUUUAGGUCAGUUAGGAUCACCACUUUAUUUUAAGAAUGUGAAAUGUCAGAAUAAUAGUAGAGAGAAUUAUUUAUUUCAGCUUUUAUUUCGUUCAACACAUUCCCAGUGGGUCAGAAGUUUACAUACACUCAAUUAGUAUUUGGUAGCAUUGCCUUUAAAUUGUUUAACUUGGGGCAAACUUUUCAGGUAGCCUUCCAUAAGCUUCCCACAAUAAGUGGGAUGAAUUUUGGCCCAUUCCUCCUGACAGAGCUGGUGUAACCGAGUCAGGUUUGUAGGCCUCCUUGCUCGCACACACUUUUUCAGUUCUGCCCACACAUUUUCUAUGGGAUUGAGGUCAGGGCUUUGUGAUGGCCACUCCAAUACCUUGACUUUGUUCUCCUUAAGCCAUUGUGCCACAACUUUGGAAGUAUGCUUGGGGUCAUUGUCCAUUUGGAAACUCAUUUGCGACCAAGCUUUAACUUCCUGACUGAUGUCUUGAGAUGUUGCUUCAAUAUAUCCCUCAUGAUGCCAUCUAUUUUGUGAAGUAUGAUCUUUGUCCCCAUGUGCAGUUGCAAACCGUAGUCUGGCUUUUUUAUGACGGUUUUGGAGCAGUGGCUUCUUCCUUGCUGAGCAGCCUUUCAGGUAUGUCGAUAUAGGACUUGUUUUACUGUGGAUAUAGAUACUUUUGUACCUUUUCCUCCAGCAUCUUCACAUGGUCCUUUGCUGUUGUUCUGGGAUUGAUUUGCACUUUUCGCACCAAAUUACGUUAAUCUCUAGGAGACAGACCACGUCUACUUCCUGAGCGGUAUGACGUCUGCGUGGUCCCAUGGUGUUUAUACUUGUGUAAUAUUGUUUGUACAGAUGAACGCGGUACCUUCAGGCGUUUGGAAAUUGCUCCCAAGGAUGAACCAGACUUGUAGAGGUCUCCCAUUUUUUUCUGAGUUUUUUUUCCAUGAUGUCAAGCAAAGAGGCACUGAGUUUGAAGGUAGGCCUUGAAAUACAUCCACAGGUACACCUCCAAUUGACUCAAAUUAUGUCAAUUAGCCUAUCAGAAGCUUCUAAAGCCAUGACAUAAUUUUCUGGAAUUUCCCAAGCUGUUUAAAGGCACAGUCAACUUAGUGUAUGUAAACUUCUGACCCACUGGAAUUGUGAUACAGUGAAUUAUAAGUGAAAUAAUCUGUCUGUAAACAAUUGUUGGAAGAAUUACUUGUCAUGCACAAAGUAGAUGUCCUAACUGACUUGCCAAAACUAUAGUUUGUUAACAAGAAAUGUGUGGAGUGGUUGAAAAAUGAGUUUUAGUGACUCCAACCUAAGUGUAUGUAAACUUCCGACUUCAACUGUACAUACACUUGGUGCCCCUAUCUCACUCAGAGGUGACAGGCUACAGACUAUCAUGUUGGGUUUGGCACACCCUGAUCUGUUUCACCUGUCUUUGUGCUUGUCUCCACCCAUCCUCUAGGUGUCGCCCAUCUUCCCCAUUAUCCCCAGUGUAUUUAUACCUGUGUUUUCUGUUUGUUGCCAGUUCGUUUUGUUCGACAAGCUUACCAGCAGUUUUCCCCUUGCUCCUGUAUUUCUAUUUCCUGUUUUCCUCGUUGUGACCAUUCUGCCUGCCCUGAGCCUGCCUGUUCUAUACCUUGUCACACCACCCUGGUUUACUGACCUCUGCCUGCCCUUGACCUGUCGUUUUGCCUGCCCCCUGUUCUCAUAAUAAACUUUUGUUACUUUGA